GAGGAUAUCAUGGAACGCAGCUGAUGGUUGGCAUUGUGGGAGUCCCAGAGAAACCACUGGUGAACGUGAAUCUUCAGUUUUGAUAAGCCCUAGAUUUGGAGUGAAGUUAAAACUUGGUACUUUGCAUCAGGAUUAUAGUUUCUUAACAAAGAUUUAGAGUGGUGCAUUUUGAAAGUAUAGCUCAGUUACAGGAGAAAAAUUAACAUUUGGGAGAUAUCAGUACCAUGGGUCAACAACAAAGAACAGAGGCAGGUGUGGAGUGGAACACCCCUGGGCCUUUGAGCUCUUUCUUAUCUCUGGCUCACUGGUUCAACUUGGCUGUUCCAGCUCAAAGCUCCUCAACAAGGUGAGGAAGUCAGGACUUCUCACCUUUAGUUGGAACGAUGGAAGAAAGAAGAAAAGAAUCCAUUCCCGAGAGGAUGCAGCUGCCUCUCUGAAGGAAAGAUCCUGGAGGAGCUAGAAUUGUUAUCAAACUAAAUGUCUCAGGUAGACUAAGAAACUUAAGACAGAAAAGUUGAUUUACUGAUAAAUCCUGUGGGCUGUCAAGAUCUUGUGAGUGUGGAAUAAGAAGAUCAGCACCCCAAACUCAACUCUGUUGGUGUUUACCACUUUGAAGGUUCAGGGGAACUAUACUGCAGAUGUCAUUCUGGCUUCGACAUUUCUGUUCCUCCCUAUUAAGCCCCAUGGGUUACGUCUGUACACUCUCUUCUCCAACAGAGGCUGUUGCCCUGAAUUUUUCUGAUUAAAGGACAUCUUGAUACCAUUG
rnacentral:lncRNA from 1 species